rnacentral:rRNA from 1 species
UACAGGGGUGGCAAGCGUUGUUCGGAAUUACUGGGCGUAAAGGGCGCGUAGGCGGUCUUGUAAGUCUUGUGUGAAAUCCCUCGGCUUAACUGAGGAACUGCACGGGAUACUGCGAGACUUGAGAUCGGGAGAGGGAAGCGGAAUUCCGGGUGUAGCGGUGAAAUGCGUAGAUAUCCGGAGGAACACCGGUGGCGAAGGCGGCUUCCUGGACCGACACUGACGCUGAGGCGCGAAAGCUAGGGGAGCAAACGGG